UCGAGAACUGAUGAUUCCAAAUCCAUAGAUUUAAUUCUGCCAUCUAGAUGAUGAAUGAUGAAUUAUCUUUGUACAUGCACUACCAUCUGAUCUCGC